AUUGUUUGUAAAGCAGCUGCCUGACACAACAAAAGGCCUUUCAUCCUGGGAACGGCACUUCCUCAUUUUCGUUACAUGAACACAAGACGCCUCCGGGGACAAUCCGAACACGACAACAACAACUUUGUAAUGCCAUCCAUCCACUUUCUAUGCCGCUUAUCCUCGCUAGGGACACGAGUAUGCUGGAGCCUAUCCCAGCUGUCUUCGGGCGAGAGACGGGGUACACGCUGGACUGGUCGAGCUUUAGAAUGUGAAGAGUGCGUGUCAUAGUGCAAAGCACACCUAUGUGGGCAUAACACCACCAGAUGGCAGUGUUAAUCAAACGUAAGAAAACGGCAAUCAAUGUCCUCAUCCAACCCUAGGUGUCUUGUGGGUAAGUUUAUAA